rnacentral:rRNA from 1 species
CCUACGGGCCGCACCAGUGGGGAAUAUUGGGCAAUGGGCGCAAGCCUGACCCAGCAACGCCGUGUGAGGGAAGAAGGUUUUCGGAUCGUAAACCUCUGUCAGGAGGGAAGAAGUGGCAUGUUUUUAAUAGAGACAUGCUUUGACGGUACCUCCGGAGGAAGCACCGGCUAACUCCGUGCCAGCAGCCGCGGUAACACGGAGGGUGCAAGCGUUAUUCGGAAUUACUGGGCGUAAAGCGCGCGUAGGUUGCGUGGUAAGUCAGAUGUGAAAGCCCUCGGCUCAACCGUGGAACUGCACUUGAAACUGUCUUGCUAGAGUAUGGGAGAGGGUGGCAGAAUUCCCGGUGUAGGAGUGAAAUCCGUAGAUAUCGGGAGGAAUACCAGUGGCGAAGGCGGCCACCUGGACCAUAACUGACGCUGAGGUGCGAAAGCGUGGGGAGCAAACAGGAUUAGAUACCCUUGUAGUC